rnacentral:lncRNA from 1 species
AUCUACAAAAGGCAAAAAACAUACAUGCUAUUGCUAUAUUACAUACAAACUUAUCUUCUUACAACAACUUCAACAAAUUAGUAAAGACUACUGGCAAGUACCAAUUUAAAAAACAAAAAAAAAAACGAAAAAAGGCAUAUUUACUAAAAGAAACGAGCGAAAAAAUUAGAGAGAUACAAAAUUAAUAGCCUAUUUUUUUUUAAAGAAAAAACGCGCUCAUGGUAAUGAUUCAGCUUCUACGGGUAUGCGGCGGAGACGAGAAACAGCAGAUAUAGAGG